rnacentral:sRNA from 1 species
UUUUGUUUUUCUUCUUUUCCU